AUUGAACGCUGGCGGCAUGCCUUACACAUGCAAGUCGAACGGUAACGGGCCUUCGGGUGCCGACGAGUGGCGAACGGGUGAGUAAUACAUCGGAACGUGCCCGAUCGUGGGGGAUAACGAGGCGAAAGCUUUGCUAAUACCGCAUACGAUCUACGGAUGAAAGCAGGGGACCGCAAGGCCUUGCGCGGACGGAGCGGCCGAUGGCAGAUUAGGUAGUUGGUGGGAUAAAAGCUUACCAAGCCGACGAUCUGUAGCUGGUCUGAGAGGAUGAUCAGCCACACUGGGACUGAGACACGGCCCAGACUCCUACGGGAGGCAGCAGUGGGGAAUUGUGGACAAUGGGCGCAAGCCUGAUCCAGCCAUGCCGCGUGCAGGAUGAAGGCCUUCGGGUUGUAAACUGCUUUUGUACGGAACGAAAAGCCUUCUUUUAAUACAGGAGGGUCAUGACGGUACCGGAAGAAUAAGCACCGGCUAACUACGUG
rnacentral:rRNA from 1 species